ensembl:lncRNA
CUCUAGUGAAAGUCCAUUUUUCCUGCUCCUUUUUGUUAAUCACAGGAUUCCAUUAUACUGACAAUAAUCUACAGUUAUUCGUAUCUGAACACUGAUCCCCAGUGAAGCCGGGAUGGAGUUAAAAUGCUUGGAAUUUGUUCUCUAUAGUGCUGCUUUUCAUGUUGAGCAAAAAUACAGCACUUAUAAUUUGUUCCCCUGUAGUAUUUGUCAUCUUUUUACCGCUCUCUUAAGAGUGUAAUUCCUGCCCAAUAUUUUCUUUUUAAACUACCUCUCAUUUAAAUACACGCUUUGUGUUUUCUUAAAAUAAACGCUGUCAUGCAGCUCUUCUACUUCCUUUAUUGAGAAAACAGUAAUACUCAUACGAUUGUGGAAAAAAAGUUGAGAGGGAGGGAGAGACAGGGAAAGGAAGCAGAAAUCAUAACCAAAAAGUUCACACUGAUUAUUGAAAUAGUCAGUGCUCCCUUGGGCUGUGGGGAAGGGAAAGGCACUUUUACAGUGUUUUGGAACAUUUUUCUUCCUCGGGAUUCUGACUUUUCACCACAUAUUUAUGCUACGUUGAGAGAGGAGAAGAAAAGAAAAAGAACUCAAAGGUUUUACAGUUUCGAAGCAAAUAAAGGGGAGAUGCUGUUGUGGCUGCAGAGGUGAGCUAUGGACAGCUGGUGGAAGAGAAUCAGGCCCCAUGGUAAAGAGGGAAAGGACGGAGCAGCUCUCUUGUCUGCCAGAAGAUGAACAUUGCAGUGGGCAUACCAUGGGGCCAGACCACCAGCAGAGCAUUAAACAAGGACAGAUGUGAAUGCCAGGAUAAAAAUGAAGACAUUCCUGAAGUGCUUACUGAAGCUGUUGAUGAUAGUAUUUCAGAACUUACAAGUUUUCCUGACCCAGCUUUGAGCAGUUUACAGUGUCAUCAUAUUUUCCAUCUGAAAAUCUAGGCAGAAGAGCAUGUUUACAAUAGUUCCGUUAGAAAUAGCUUGAGAAAGUCUUCAGUGGGAGAAACCCAAAAGUAAGUGGGAAAUGAGUUUCUGGCUUGUACUGUUUAAUAUUUUUCCUAUUCUCAUAUUUGAAGAUCUGUUUCAAACCCUCGCUGGCAAUUAAGAUGCUGAUGUCCAAUAGAUGAACCGACUAAACGCAAAAGUUUUACUCAAAUUCUGCUGAACUUUGGAAUGAUAAGGAAAAAAGAAAAAAAGAAUUGAAAGUGAAGUCCAUAUUCAUCCCAUACUUGGGAAAACAACCAAAAUAAAACCUUGCUGUAAACUUUUCUAACAUUUGGAGUGCUUGAAAUAUGUAUCUUAAUUUGAGUCUGCAGUCAAUAUCUGGGCAAAAGAGGAAAUCUGUUGCAUCAUAAAAUUCAUAAAAGUGAUAGUAUAAGCUUGAAACAACUUAUUCAGGAGAAAAUGGUUUGCAAAAGAGGCACAAGUGAAAACAUUUAGAUUUGGCUGAAGUAGAUACAAGCUUGAUCAUUAUAUGUAUACCAUGCAAGUAAAUAGCUUGUGGGUGCGUCUAAAGCCAAUGUGAACCUUUAUGUGGAAAGCAUUGACUAUGUGGGUAUGGAAAAUAGCCCACUUAAACUAUAAUUAUACUGAAUAUGUGCAAAUAAAACCCAAAUAAAGCACCCAAGUAGAAAGCAUAUUUCUUUAACAUUUCUGUGGAUAUGUUCUAUGUUAUUCUCAUGGUUUUAGGGCAGUCGGAAUUAUACUGUAUUCAUAUUAAUAACUUGGAAGUAAACAGUAUACAAAAUAUCUUCUUAAAAUAUACAUUAAAAAAUUACAGUGGAAGAAAAAACAUGUGUAACCAAAGUUAGAUUGGAUCUAAGAGACUGUUACAAUUUCUUGAUUUAGUUUGCUGAGUAGGAGGCUCUGCUGGAAUUACCGACUCUUAAAUAAGUCAGCAAGAUAUUAUUUGAAAGACACUGGUUCAUCAAGAAGUAGUUUCAUUUCACUUAUGACUUUUUGGAAUGGCAUUGCAAUCAAUCAGCUAAGUUUCUGAGCAGUGGCCACUUGGAGUAAUAUGGCUGAAGUCAAGACGUAACUGUGUUUUGAGUGGUUGCAUUCUUGCUUCUCUCUCCUCACAUUCCUCCUGUUGCCAGUGCUUCCAUGGCAGGACAAAAUGAGACCUGGUGGAGUACAUUCUGUCAUGGCUCUGCUCUUAGUGUCUCCUGUGCUGUGGGAAUUCACAUCUGUGGAUAUGGAAGCUUCUAGCUGUCAUACAUAGUAGCCUGAAGGGACAGAAUGAAUUUGUUUGUUAGCUCUAGUAGUGUCAGGGCCUUGCUAGAAUUUACAUGAGCCUCAUCUAAUGAACUUGGUGCAAAAUUGUUGUGUAAUGGAUCAGACCUCUCAGAUGGACUUUGGAGCUGUGAUUUUCCAGGUGAUGCAUGUCUCACAUUGGAUACACACAGACUUAAAGAAAUAACGUUCUUGUGUUAACUGCAGCUCAACACUGUCAGUCACCAGUUUUAUUCUCUUUCUGCAACAAAACAAUGAUGCACUUGAAUGAUAAAAAAGGUUGACAGUGUGUCUGAGCCUGCUCUCUGUUGAGUGUGAUGACAUCUCUACCAGAACUACAUUUUCCCUUUAUGCUUUCAAAAUCUCCUUGUCUUAAUCCGUAACUUAAAAAAAUAUUUAGCACCACAUAGUGUCUAAGGAUGAACAGUACAGAUGUUUCACACUAGUAUCUAUUUGUUCUAUUUACGUUUUGUAUCAUCAGGUUAACAAAACAGCUUAAAUUGUUUACCAAGAACAAAUUCCGCAUUGGAAUCUUUGAAGUCCGGGUGUCUUCCUUAGACAAGCUCUAUGGGAACCAUUAGGUCAUGGCCUGAAGCAGUUAUUGAGCACCUCGUGAAGGGGCAUAGCCAGCCCUAGGAGCACAGGUGGAAGCAAUUCACCUGUGUGACUAGGAGGGGCGGACCCUUACCUAAUAUAAGGGCUGGCAGCCACAAGAAAAGCAUCUCUAUCUAGAGAUUACCUCCUUAGUAGUGUUUGUUGAGCUCUGGUCCUUGGAAAGGGGUAAGUGUUUCCUUCUUUACCAUCAGUUUGUGACCUUUACCUUUCUUGGAUAAUUUAAAACUUAUCUAAAGCAGCUAUAUCUGCUGUUGCCUAUCCUUACAUAAGCAUAUGGGUGGUACCUUUUCAGAGAACUGCCAAAAUGAAGGCUGGGUAAAAUUUUCUGGCCUGUCCUAAUUCAUAAGUAAAGCUAAGACUCUCCCUAAUAUUCUUUUCCUUUAGCAAUGUUUCUUAUGUUCAUCACAAAGCAAAAUGUGGGAAUCAGUGAGAAAUGAAAAAAAAAAGAAGAACUUAAAUAUGAAUUCAUGAAAAUAAUAGCUCAUAAGAAGAACCUAAAAACUCUGAGUGAGGAUGGCUGGAGCAUGACAGAAACCAGUGAGAUGUGCACAGGAGGUCAGAAAUGCAAAGCAGGUAGCUUUUAUGUUAGCUUUGUAAAUGGAGGGUGGAAAUGGUGAUCACAGUUGUAGGAGGAAAGAAUGUUUUUUUUUUUUUUUCAUUUAUUGUACUUUCUUCCUUCAAGAUAUAGAAAACAAGUGCUUAGGAGAAAAAAAAUGAAAUGUAGUUGUAACAAAAUGAUUAGGCAAGAAGGGUACUGAAUUCAGUGCAGGGAACUCCAUUCAAUUCUUUGAAGUUAUGCAGACGUCGGGUAACAGUGGUGAAUCAAACCCAAGCAGUGGUGGCUUUGUCAAUGUUGCAGUAUAACAUUUUUGUGUAUUUGGUACUGAUUCCAGAUGGCAAUUAGAUUUUGGAGCAGAGUAAGGGGGCUUCUGCUGGUCCAGCAGAAUCCACCUGAAGGAUUUUAGUGGGAACUUAAUUUUUUUUUUAAUGAACUAAGUAUGAAUUCUGGCAGCUAGAGCAACAUACCCAUAUUCUUUGCUAGUAUAAAUUGGCAAAGCUCUGAUUGAGCUAUAGCAACUCAUACCAUCUGAGAUUCUGACCAAUUAUAGUAGAUUUAUACAACAGCCACCUCAUUGUGCCAAAGACUUCAGUAUCUCAGAGGUGGUAAUACUGUUGGCAGACUCAUGGACAAGAAAAAUGAGGAAGUGAAACUGCAACUUGCAAUAAGGAAUUAUCCCAAAGGUCAGUUUUUGGAAGCAAAAGAAAUUCUUCCUUUUGGAAGGAGGUAUAAGGCAUGGCCUGUAAAAAGACCUCUUCAUCUGAACUACCUAAUUUGUUUUUGGUCUUUUUUCAAAGGCAAAAAUGCUAGUGUAAAAACUGGUAUCUUCUGUCUCUUUUGAUAUACCUUUCAUUAGUAGGAUAAGAAUGCUAUAUAUAUAGCUAUAGUAUAGUAGUGUAUUAAGCCAAUGUCUUGUGGUUCUUACCUUCUUGUUCUCCCUAGUAAGCUGUACACAGAUUUGCAGAAAGAGACUUCAAAUUUUAUUAUAUGUUUAGGGGAGAAACAAGGUUGGUGUUGGUUGUUUGUUGUUUUGGGUUUUGGUACUUGGAAGAGGAGUUGAAGAGGUGUACAGGACUUCCUGGUGUCACAGUCAUUCCUUUGAAUCUUCUGCCCAAAAAAAACCUGUCUCCUACUGGUAGUUUAGGUCUUCUGUAGCUUCUUUUGGAUAGUCAAAAAAAAAAAAAAAACUUUAAAGAAGAUGAAGGUCCAGAUGGGGAGGAAAUUUUUCAAGAUGCGUGAGAUAAGAAAGCCAUUAUGAAAACAAUCAGCUUUACAAGGAGUGUCCUAAAAGUUGGCUUCUGCCAGGCCCAAUUGCACAAAUGUGAUGGUUUUACAGACAAUAUCAUUACUGAAACUACUAGAACCAGGUGAGUAGGUAAUGCAUAAAUGAAACAGCCUUGGGACCCUAUUGCCAUUCUGGGUGCCUAAGUUCUCAGUACUUGGGAAUCUACAGUUGCCUCUGCAAUGAGUCCUCCUCUACCAUGAGAAUGGCCAGGAAUGGUACAGGUCUUGAUGGCACAAAAAUGUUUGGUACUUCUGUCAUCCCUAAGCAUCUUUAGUACUUGUAAUACCAAAUACAGGUUACUCCUACUUGAAGGAUAUUUUCAAAUAGGUAUCUUAAUACAUUCAUGCUAAAACUGUACAGUUAUUUCACCUGAAAAACAGUGGACUGAGAAUUCAGAUCUAUUCUCUGGUACUGUGAAUCUGUGUUGCAGAGAGGUUUCUUAACUACUAGGCAAGAGGGUAUUCUGGGAUUCAAGUCUCACACCAUCAACAUUUUUCACUUUACCAGCAAAAACAUUAAUGCAGACAUGUAUUCAAAGUACCUGAGCUGUGAGAAAUUAUUUAAUAACUUCUGUUGCACAAGCAGCAAAAAAUAUUCCUAAACAAACAAAAUCUAGGCUGUGCCCUGAGAUGUGCUCUCAGUUUCACAGUAUCCUGGGGCAACAUGUUCUGCGGGUUCACUGUGUGCUGCACAUUCAUUAUUUAAGUAUAGCUGUGAUAUAUACGGUCCUUCUGUAAUAAGAUGAAAUGAGCAAAAGGAUCUUGAACCUUAUGCUCACAUUGACAGCCUCCUACGCCCUGACAAUGCAUGGUAAUUAAGACUGAAGGUUUAAGCUUUUUCAUGGACUUGCAUAAGCAUUUUCCACUUUGUUUUCUAUUCCUUUAUUUAUAACUGCAAAGAUUCUCCUCAUUUCUCUACUGCUGUUGAGUACUCAGCUGACACUUUCAUUGAACUAGCCAUAAGAGCUACUAGAUCUUCUUGAGCAGUAGUAGCUGAUCUAGAAAUCAGAACUAAGUGAGAGCAGUUAGGGUUCCUUCCCCCAUGCACAUAACUUAGUAUUUGUCUUUCAUAAGCAGUCUUAUGGUGUACCAUGACGAUCAACCCUACAAAUUCUCUGGCAGAACUUCUGUAUCUAACACUAGCGUGUUUGGAAAAGAAAGAUUUUAUUACUACUUUUUUAUGUCUGUGGUGUGUUGUUCCUUAUGAUCUUUUUGGCCUGCUGUAAUAUGAGUUACCAUUUGAAAUGCUGAAGUUUAUGAUCUUUUCUAUUUUCCUCAUUGUUCCACAUAAGCUCCGCUGUUUGAGGGAUUUCUUUUUACCCCAAUUAGCUGUCUUUACUGUAUCAUAUAGUCAUGCUGCCUUUUUUGUGUGGUCCUUUAAUUCUUGGUUUCUGAGGGAUUUCUUUUGGAUACAUAAUAUAUGAUUAUUCUGAGACUUUAAUAACAUGUACAUACAUUAUAUCUGCAAUUUUUAUUUUUUUGGGUUGCUUCUUUUAAAUUCCGUUUUAACAAGAUUUCUCAUUUUUAUGUACUUCCCCUUUCUGAAGUUACAAUUUUGGCUUCUCACUCCUAUAGGAAUGUAGAUUUUAAGUGCUUUAUGGUCAGUCUUGAAGAGUGAAUGUUCAUUUUGAAGCAGGUCCCAUGCAUCAUUUAGGUCUAAAUAAAAAAAAAAAAUUGCUUCUCCCCCUUAUGGAUUAGCCUGCCAUUUGUUCCAGGAAGCAGUCAUUUAUGGUAUCUUAAACUUUAGUCUUCUGCCACAGACCUAGCUGUGCAUUUAUCCUAUAAGUAUACCUGAAAUGUUUUUGAAGGGCUUUCUGAGGAAACAGUGUACAGUAAGUGUGGCUCAGUGAAGCCACAUGGAGAGUGCUGUAUGAAGUUUUCCCUUGUGCAUGUUCUGUCUUCAUCAGGCUGCUGCAGUAGCCAUAUUCCUUUCCAAAGACAUGGGCUUUCAAAACCCUUAUCACUUGAUUUCAGUAAAAUGGAAUAGUCCAGUAGCAAUAUGUGAAUUGCUGAAUUAACAACACUCGUAGGAGUCUUAGAAACCAAAGGUAAGCUCAGAUGUCUUGGCUCAAGCUGUUUGCUUGGUGUUAUCUAACUCUUUAACUCUGCUUUGGAACUUUCAGCUUCCUGUAAAUACAAUUAUAUAUGUGUAUAUAGAUUAUAAAAGUGUGCAUGUGCUUAUAGGUGUGUGGUGUGUGUGUACAUAUAUAUCUAUACGUGUGUGUGUGUAUAUAUAUAUGUAUAUAUAAUAUAAUUUCAACACAAACUCUUCCUCCUAGUAACUCCUUUCUCCACAGCUCAGCUCCUGGAGACCCUAGGAAGGGUUUUUGGUGGAUGGCACAGCCAUUGGCCAACCUGCUCAGCUACAGCUGGGAGGUGAGGGACCACUGGUUUUGACGUCAAGUUGGCUAACCUUUAUGGUGCUGUGACUCAGCCAAUUGAAAACCAUCAAUGGCUUUGCCUAAAUUAAAAAGUAAACCAGAUAUUUUCUAUAUGUGUAGCUGGUCAACACAUCUGUACAGAUAAGAGCUCUUUUUUUCCCAGAAAAAUUAUACACCCAAAUUGCAUUUGAGGACUGGCCCUUAGCCGACAAGAUGCCCAAGGACCAGUUAUUUUUUGGCAGGAGCUCCUCCCUACUCAGUCAAUAUGUAGGUUCACUGGCAGAAGCUAGCCUUGAAACAUGUAACUUGCAAGGACUGAACAUGAGCAUGCGGUAGUUCUCUACUUGCAGUUUACACAGAAGUCUAUUCACUGUCCUGGCCUGUAAGCCAAUGGUUGGUGUCUGUUAACAAAUAAUGCCUGAGCCUCUGUGGGCUGUUUCACAUGCUGUAUAUAUGCAAUCUGUGUAUGUAUGUACCUCAUGCACUGUUUCCUGAAUUAACCCACACUAUUCUCAGAUUUCCAGGACUUUGGAGGUGAGCCUAUGAAGUACUUGAGGUAAAGAGUUCCUUUACUACCUUAAAUGGAUGAAUGUUUUCCUAACAAACAUACUAAUCAAAAUCAAAAGAAUAGUGUGUUUUAUCUUCUCUUACACUAUUCUUAUACUAAAUUUAUGACUAUGAUAUUGUGGGAAAGAAUGUUUGUAUAACAUGAUAUAGAGCAGACAUCACACAAACUAGUCUAAGCAAAACCACAGUGAUAACGUAUUACUGUUAGCAUAAAUAAGUAGUGAUUAUUAAUUUUAGCCCUAAGCAGUCAAUAUGCAUGUUCUUUGAGUGUGCUUCACUGAGAGCAGUUUUUUGAUACACAAAAAUAUUAAAUUUGCGAAUUGUUUAGAAUUAUUGCUUAGAAACUACUGCCAAAUUGCAAUUAAGCAGUUGUAAGAACACGGCAUAUCCAACUGAGCACCUGCAAAACAACAACAAAAGAUGAAAGUUUUCUGUUUUGGAUAUGUUUGAAGCUGUAGGGGUACCAGUUCUGUAUAAACUCUCCUGUAUGAAAUGACUAUAAUGGAUAACGCACUGCUUGAACAGAGCUUUUCUAAAACUUGUAUACUCCUAAGAGUAGAGAAUCAGACCUGGGGAUCUAACUUUUUUUUUCUAUAGCAGCCCCAAUCUAACUAGUGGUAUAGAACUGUGAGCUCAUGGUUUCUUAGCAGUGACUUUGGAUUUCUGUGCUGAAAUAAGCCUUGAAACAGGCUGUGUAAUUUUUUUUUAAUGGGAAUUAUAGAUACUACAGGUCCAAGGGACAAUAGCUUCCAGCAUAGGCAUAAUUUGAAAACUGGUAGAUGAGUUUGUUUGGAAUUCAUAGUUUCAUUUCACUUGAUCUGCUCAUACAUACACACCAAAAUGUCUAGUGAAGUUUAGAGACUUAAACUGUACUAAAGAUAUAGAAAACUAUCUGAAAACUAUCAAAAUUAUAUAUAAUAAGCAGAGAAACAUUUUCUACUAUACCAUGUACCUUGGAACAAAGUAUUUAAAAAAACCAUAAAAAUAGAACUUCAGUGGGUUGCCAUGUAAAACAUAUUUAUCUGGUAUUCAUACUAUCACAUCCUAUUUAAAUGACUGUCAGGACUUAUAUAUGGGUGAAAUUAUUGGUAACUUGAUUGUUAUUUAACAACUGAGUGAGUCAUAACAAUCAAACUUUAUUAUUUUGUCACUUUAAAGCACAAAUCCUGCUUAUUACAAUUAAAAUGCAGAUAAUUUUCCUGAGGUAUGUGCCAACAUAUGGGUAUUAGUUACAUCCCAGUUGAUUCCAUCCGAGUUAGGAUUCCAUUAAGAGUGACACUUACAUCUGAUGCUCAUGUUUACUUCCCAGUCACAGUCCUCAGUGUUCAGAUGAGAAUUAACACAGGUAGAAAAACUGACUAGCAAAAACAGUUGCCUGUGACUGUGCUUUACUUUCAGGUCAGCAUCCAACUCGCAGAUCCUCUUUGCUGCAUUUGUGCACUAAGAGGAAACUGGUCAUCAGGCUUAAAGUUUACCCUCACAGACAGAGGUCUGAACACCAGAAACAUGCAAGAAGCCAGUGGUAGGAGUCAGAAUGUGAGCACCCUGAAACACUGGAUCCUGCUCCUAGAUGGUCCACAAGUGAGCAGAGCAUCAGCACAUAUGGUUGGAGCACUUGCAUUUUCUUUAUGAAAACAGUGUGUUGUCCACUGACUUCUACACAUCCUUCAGUGGGAUUUUCAAGGGCUCUGAGGAGUGAGCAGGCUCCACAUCUCGCUAAUGUGAGCAGAAGAACAUGCCAGGAGACAUACAAGUGUCAUUCUUUGCACCAUCUUAACAUCUGCGGCACUCACUGAGCCAAGAGUUGUGUGCGUUGCAGCAGAAGACUGAAUUGUGGUCUGCCAGUGGUGCAGUAUCUCUGGCUUAGGCACACUCAGUUGCAAAAACUAGCAAUGUUCAAGCUGUUUGACUUUGGCAUAGCAUUAACAAAGAUAGAGAUGCCAAUAGCUGUAGAGAAAGGGGUGAGAAUUAUGAUUUAGGUCAGUAAAAUAAACACUGUUACCGUGGCAGGCUAAUCUCAUCCAAGAAACUCUUUGCUUGUUAUUUUUGUAACUAUCGGAAAAAAUGCCAGCAGUUCUGUCUACAGAGCUCACAGUCCACUUCUUUUCUGAAGUCACUCAGCAAAAGGAGAGAGAGGACAUUCCCUCACAUCAUUUGAAUAACUUUAUUUUUUCCAUCUGUAAUCUUUUCCUCUUCAGUAGAAAUGAGGGUGGUUCCAAUGCCUCCCUGAAGGUAUGGUAUCUUCUUGCGAAGCUCCCUGAGAACCAGGAACAAGGAGCUGUCACAGCAGCAAGGUUAGCAUCAGCACCAGAAUAGCAGAGCUGGGUCAUUAGAGAUCUGUGUAGAAAUCUGUAAUCCCUAAGGAGUACUGAGCAUCCUGAGCUUCUGAUUCACCCUUUGCAGGAUUAGUCUGAUAAUAUUUUUAAUGGGUAUCCAUUCUAUUGCAAUGUAUAGGAGUGCAGUGACCCUGAAAUGUCACCAUCUAACAUUACAUUAAUUCACUCCUAAUGAAACUAAAGAGGGCUUAGAGAGGUUUGUGACCAAAGGCUGUUCGCUAGAAUUGCACCUUUCAUUAACUGACUUUGGAAAGAUGAAAAAUGAACAUUCUGAAAUAUUUUGAUAUUGGAUACACUGACUUUUUUUUUGAGGGCAGUAAAUCCCUCUGGUUCAGACCCUAAACAGGGGCUUCUGAUGAUUAGGGUAUAAAAUGAACUGUGAAAUCCUAUAUGCCUAAUAUCCCUUCCUAAUGCAAAUCAAAUUUGCUACUCUGCCAAGUAGUUUGAUCCUGUAGAGCAUGGAAACAAGGUAGUAUGCAAGCAAGAUCUUACAUUCAAAAGAUGAAAUGUUGGCAGUUCUUCAGAAUGACCCUUUAAUGCUGGACACCCAUGUAUAAAGAUGAAUAAUACAAAAUCAAAGCUUACAAUAGUCUCAUUGUGCUCAAAGGGCAAAAGGAAAAUGUAUCAGUCAUCAGGAUGUGCCAAAGAGUAGGACUAAGAUGCACCUUUUAUUUUUGGACUGACUUUUAGAUACAAGUCUUGGCUAAAACUUGGACGUCCAAAUCUUGGAGUGAAGGAACUUAUCACAGAAAACUACCACCACAAUAUGCCAGGUAGUCUAUAACAGGAGCAGUCUCUAGGAGAUAAAAAAACAUCUUUUUUUUUUUUGGAGAGGUACUGAAGUUCUACUUAUGGGCAUUUACAUAACUCAUGUACUCCCUAUGCAUAGUUAGUGAGUGGAACCAUCUUCCUGCAGCUCUACUCUACUACUUAGUUAUCUACAGGGGAAAGAAAAAAAGAAAAAAGCUCAGUACAAUAUGAAGUUAUUACUGAAUGUGUUUCUUAGCAUGUAAAAAAUAUUGAAUUAACAUUAAAACCCUUUUACCCACUUUGUAAUAUUUGUAUGUAAAUUGUUACAAGUGCAUGAUAUGUUAAAUCCAUAAUUGUCAUAUUUUGCUGAAGACUGCGUAGAAUCAGUGAGGAUUUUCUUUUGUCUAAUAUUGGAGAGGUGGUUCAUGUUGGUGACAUGAAGAAAAUAUAAAAAAGCAGUUUAUCCAUGUAAACAUAUAGCCCUCAGACUCUUGCCAAGGACAGCAAGACCUAUUUUUAUCUGGUGAAUGAGUCCUGGUCCCAUAUGCUAAGAGUUGCUUUGGGAAGCUAUACGUUACAUAUCUAACUUCUCCUAAUUAAAUUUAAAUGCUACCUGAAAUUUGAUGCAAAGUAAACCAUAAUUUAGUGAUUAAAACUUUGGUAUACUGACUGGUUAUGACAACCAGAAAGGACUGCUAAGAGAUUAGGAAAAAGGGGGAGGGGAUAGAGUUUAAUCAGAACAAACACUAGCAAGAAACACAAUUUUAAUGGUUUUACAAAAUCAAUUUUCCAGUAAUAGUGAUAUGUUAUUUCAAAAUUAUUUUAAAGGAUGGGAGAAAGUUUAACCAUGUGACUUUAUCUUUUUCAGUGGUCUUUCUUAUUUGAUAUUGCAGGGAUUGGAUUUCACUGGGACACAUCCCAUUUCCACUGUAAUUUGUAAACUAAUGUUUCGUUUCUUCAGAAGGUAUGUUCCCAAACAAGUGCUUGCCAGCGUUAAGAAGUUGCCUCUUGUCCAAUUGUUUUCCAAUUGUUUGAUGGUAUUAAUGGGAGCAAAAAGAACAUUCAAGAUACCUUCUUGGUACUUCUCUGUAUUUGGGGUAGUUGCUAAGAGAAUGCCCUCACAGCUGAGAGAAAAAUCUAUUUGCAUCCCAUUCUGAAUGGCAGGGUUGUAACUUGGAGAGGUGGCCCAGAGUUAGAAAAUACUCAUCAUGAUACUGCCCAUAUUCAUGAGCAGAGGUGAACAACUACUUUUUAAGCACACCUAAAAAUAAACCUUGCUUUCUGACAAAGACAGUCAUUGAUUGCUCCAUGAGCUGAAAAAGGUUUUUUGAGUGACUCCUUGCUUCAUUUCUACUCGGCUGUAAAUUGGAUUUGCUCGUUGAUUUUCUUUUCUUUUUUGUUGUUUAUUUAUUUUGUGGGGUUUUUUUGGUUGUUUAGUUUUGUAAAGGGGAAGUAUGGGAGAAAAUGUAUGUUUGGCCUGUAUGUCUCAGCUGAUGUGUAAUCUCCAUUAGCUGUUUUUGCUGGGAUGGAGCUUUGGCACAAAGGGCGUAACCUCAUGGACUCUGCUUAUGCCUAGUCAUUCCAGGACCAGUUGACUGCCAGUUUUCCAAAAGAAAUGAGGAAAUAGUUGUCUAUAAAUACAUUCCUCCUUUAUUUUGUGAGUUAUUUACAAACCUGACUUAUUUUCUUAGGUAUUUCUGCAAAAAUAUGAGACAACUCUUUGUCAGUAGGUUGUCUGUAAGUAAUCCACUGCUAGUGAUCCAAAAUUAAAAUUGACUAGGUAAGAGCAAUUCUCAGGAUAAUCUUUCUGAUAAAAAGUCCUUCAAGUUAGAAAUUUAGGAAACGAUCUCUGAUAAUAUCUUUCAAAAUUUGCUUAACAUAAGCAGAUUUUAUGAGCUGGCUUUUCUGAGAACACAAAUAGUUUGAACAGAAUCAUAGCAGAAGAGUUUAAAAUCAUGAGCAAGUAUUCAUAGAACACUUUUAUUUUUUCUUGGGGCAGUUGCCUGGUCUUGCUUUCCUAGGUGGUGGUUAACUGUCCAUCCUCACCAAGAAACAGUACUGGAAACCUGCUGAUUCUCUUUUCACAGUUCUUGGAUAUGCAAUUUCACACAUAGAAAAGAAAAAUUGUGUGAAAUGUUGUAACUGACAUUGUCAGUCAGCAGGAAACCUGAAAAGAGAUAUUGAGAUUGAGCUGUGAAAAGUGACAGUAGUGGAGCAGUACAUUUUUAUGUGAUAGAUAGAGCUGUAGGGCGCAGGUCAUUGCAGCUUGCAAGGGGCAAUCUUUGUGUUACUGAUAUCCCCAAGGCUGCAAAGGCUGAGUGCCAUGCUUGGAGAGCUGACGGGCAAUUUGCUAAUAUAGCAAUCUGAACACAAGAAGAACCAGCAUAAAUGGGAGGGGCAAAAAACCACACAGAGUAUAUGUAUUAUACAGAUGUAUUGUACCCUUUUUUGCUUAUUCAAGUAGCAUACAGUGGAUAUUUGAAAAAAAAAAAAAUGUUGUACACAAAUCUAGGAAGUCACAAAGAUUUUUAAAUUGGAAAGUUUUACUUCUGAAAACUAACACUGUCUUAUGUUAAAUCACUCUUGUUUGAUCAAUAGCACUGCACAAAUUCUACAUCUGCAUACUUUCUCAGGUUUUUUGCAUGCACUAGACAGUAACUGUUAAAAACUGAAAGGGCUAGAAAGUACCUUCUCCCAAGUACCUUCCCAUUUCAGGAGCAGCACUUAGAGAGCUUUUUGUUUCCUUUGUUGUUCUGUAGCUUUCUAAGUCUGAGGUAUGAGGUGUACCUUUCCUAAAUAUUUCUCUCUGAAUGUGUGACUCAAAGUUUGUAUAAAAAGAAAAUCAUAAUAAUGGUAACAGUGAAUAAAAAAUAAAAUCAUGUUCAGCUUUAAUGUGCAAUUCAAAUGAAAUCAUGUUGAUUUUGUUUGAUUUCUCUUUGCAUCUUUUCAUGUUUGAAAAGAUGUUCAUGUUUCACAUUUGAUAUAUGUCCCAUUUUGUCACCAUUAGAAUAAAAUAUUUUGAUUUUUUUCCUUUUCAAAUUAUUUUUCAUUUUGAAUAUUUUGAACUCUAGUAUGUAAUAGAUGAUUACAUUGCAAACACAUUAUGUUGCACUUAAAACUCGAGUCAGUGUGCAGUAUUCCUGCCAUUUUCCUUUACAAAGAAUUUAGAUAUUUUCUGAUUGGAAAUGAAGACAAAUUUGGAAACUUCAGGAACAGUUGGGGAAGGAAAAAAAAAAUUGUCUGUUUUACUGUCCAGACUUGUCUGGACCACUUCCACAGAUGGUGAUGCCAAGUGGUUCAUCAACCUCUUGCUCUGAAAGUAUUGUUUCUACACUGCACUUCAGUCUAUGACUUAUGUUAUUCCUGGCAUUGUGCACUUCAAUUUCUCCCAUGCUGAAUCUUUUAUAUUAGUAUAGAAUUAAGAUAAUAAGAAUAAUUGCUCCUUUUUAAUAACACUUCAUGUGUUUAUGAACAGUCAUAUGCACAAGGAUUAUUUUCCAAAUCAUUGCUCAUUUUUGUUGUUCUCUUCUGAGUUCUCCAAUUAGUAUGUAUUUCUUUUUUUAUUGUGGUGUUCGUAACAGCAUGCAGUGCUCCAACUGAGGCUUAUCAAGUGAAGUAGAGCAGAAUAAUUACUUCAUUUCUUUUAUGCGUGACAUUCUUAUUAAUGUGACUCAAUACAGAGCAUUUGCCUUGUUUUGCCACAGUGUUGCAUUGUUGAUUCGUAUUCAAAUAAUUAGUCACUGUAAAUCCACAUGCUGCUCUGCUGUGUAACUCUGUGCUCUAGGAUGGGAUAUCCCACAGCUGUCAACAGGAGCACCCAGGAGCUGCAGUGAGGGUGUUGGACACUGUACAAAAGAGGGGCAGGUAAAUGACUUUUCUUAACCAGACUGCUAAGCUCCAUACUCAUUUGUGAUUACUGGUUUACAGUAUUAUAAGUAUAUUCCAGUUGUAAGUGAUUUCAGACUGCUGUCUCCAGUGUAUAAUACCUCAUCAUUUGUCAUGUUCCUUUUUCAAAAAUGAGGAUUCGCCCAUUCUUUCCACUUACUUAUUCUCCAGAAGAUGUAGUAACUUUUUUUAUAAUGAAAACUACUUGUUUUUCUAAAAAUCUUUCUGAUAACUUCAGUGAGAUCUGUACACUUGGGGUUGUUUUGCUAUUUAAAGAUACUCAGAAAUAGAUCAGACUUACUCCCCCCCCCCCCCCCCAAAAAAAAAAAAUUGUCUAAAAAUUGAAUCUGUGAGUAGCAUAUCAAAUUUGGAUGCUUAUACCUAAAGGAUCUCCAUUUCUUCCUGCCUUCUCUUCUGAGAAGAGUUGAAGUACUUACAGUGCUGUUUGAACCCAGGACAUAGAGCUUGGAAAAAAAAUGCAAGCCAUUGUGUCAUAGAAUUUUUAUCUGGCAAUAUUACAAGCCAGAAUUUUCAAGCUGAUUUGAAGAAAAACAAGGUGAAAAGUCUAUUGGGUCACACUUGAAAAUGUUAAGUAUUUUAGAGUCGUUUCAAAAUCCUGGAAAUUAAGUACUUCACAUCUACAAAGUUAACUGGUUUACUAAGUAUAAUGUCAUUUAUACAGUUUGCAAAGUCUGAAUACACAUACAAUAGUAAGAAAACUGUACCAAAGCCAUGUUAAAAGAAUUUGAUGUGUGGCAGAUUUGAGUUAGUAGGUACAAUGUGUUCUAUGAUUGGAAAGAAAAAUGGCAGACACACUUUCAAUGUGUUAGAAAGUAGAUGAAGACUCCUCUGAGACCAUGAAUCCCAAUGGAAACACUGCUGAUCUAAAGAUCAUAGAAAGAUAGAACCAGGUCACAUGCUGAUGCAAAUGAGCAUAGUUUUCUUGACAUUGGUGGACCUACAGUGAUUGAUUCCAGAUGAAGUGAUGAGAUGAUUCGGAUGUGCUAUGCCCUCCUGAAAGGCUGUUGAGAGAUGCUGAGAUCAGUGCUGGGAUUGCCUCACCAGAGGAAAAUAUGCAGAGUAACAAUCUCUCCUUUAAAAAAAUGUGAGAAGGAAGAAAGUAAUAGUAUCUCUCCCAGUGUUGAUGGAAAAAGUAGGCUUUGGUGGAAAGAAAAAUAGUUCAGUAGUCAAGAUUUUGGAAGGAAGGCAGUAAAGACUUUUCCUAAGGAAAAGAGAGCACCAGAAAGCUUUAGAUGUUCCCUGUUCUCACCAUCUUCAGAACAGCUCUGUGUGUAUUUACCCUUACUCUUCUUUAGGUGGUCACUGAGGUUUGACUCAUUGAGUACUCCAGUGUGUUGGCCUGGGAGCAGGAGAAAGGAUGGAGGAUCUAAAGGCAUCCUGGUUACAGCAGCAGCAUGACUGAAUCAGCUUUAAUGACUGGCUGAAGCUAGCACUGUAUCUAUGCAUCCAGCGUGGGCUGCAACAAGAGUGACAAUUCAGGCAGAAGCUGGUUUGGGCUGAGUUUUAUGGUGUUGUGGCUAGCAAAGUAGCUAAGCUAGCUCACCAAUGCUCUCCCAAGUUAUUUUUUGUCUUAACAAUACAGGUAGGCCCAAGCAUGAUACCCUUCAGUGGUUCAAGAACUAUCUAAAAUAUUUAAACAUUUUGAGAUGUUCUUCUUCUGGAAGUGAAAGUAAAAAGAAGACUGGCUCUGGAAGCCUCGCAACAUUUGAAGUAAAUCACUCCUUAUGGCAGUAUCAAAAUCCGAAGAUGCAGGGAUUUUGAAGACUUAUCUAUGGAUUCAAUAAAAUCUAAAAGCAGAUGUUUAGUAACGUAUUUUUCCUAGAUCAUCAGUAGCAGUAUUUAGAGGCAUUGCAGAGCUUUGACCAUUGAAUUCCUCAUAGCGAGCUGCAACCUGCUGUAAGUACUGUUCUUGCAUUUGUCUAUCAAAAGAGAAAAUAUAAGACUAUUUUCAUUUCAUACAAGACUAUUAAUAUUGAAACCAUUGACUAGUAGACUACUCAAUUAAGGAUAUAUUAACUAGGAUACUUUAUCUCACUCUUAUUUUCAAGAGUCAACAAUCCAAGUACAAGGAGACUAAUGACUAAAAAUUCAGCCUCUUCUGAACAACUGAUGGAGUUCUGUUCCUGAGCUACCUCCUCCUCGAUUCAUUCAGCAUGAAUGGCAGAUUCCUAUAUCGUGUCAAGUUUCAGAUCACCAUAGAAACAAACUAGGAGGCAGUUUCAUUAAUCAUUUAGAGCACAAGAAGUCUAGGUCAGUCUGAUUGCAGCAUAUAGAGUAUCAUCCUAGCGCCACAUGGGACUCAGUUGAUUUGAAUUAAAAAAGAUUAAGCUGCCCCUAGGACGCUCAGCAUCAUCAGUUUAAGUUCUCAUGUAACAGUGGUCUCUGGAGCCACAUGGAUUAGGAGACUGAAGCUAUGCAUUUAUUUUUCAGGGCUCAGUGAAACAUUAGAUGAGUGCAGGUGUCUGAGGGGAAAAAAGGACAAAGAUCACAUAUAGUUUUUUAGACUUGUUGCUGUUCUUUUGAAACUGGAAACAAUAACUCAGUUUUAUUUCUCCAGUGACAGUUACCACUCUUUUUUGGCAAUGCAGUGGUACAUCUGUUACCCAAUGUUUACAACUUAGAUUUAUAACAAUUUCAUACUAGGCACCCUAAUUUUAGUGCAGAGCUGCAAGUUGGGCAUAGAACAGUUUACAUGAAUGCUGACUAUUUUUUUCAUGAUGGAGUAAAAAAUGCACAAAAUAAAUACUGGUGACACUUUAGUUUUACUUGAAUGAAGAUUUAUUGCUCCCAGGAAACUUACUUACAGGCAGCUACAAAUCAACUUGACUAUGAAAUAGCUGUAUAUGUACACCACAAAAUGAGCCCCCCCCUCCCAAAGUACUCACCUUAUUUAUGGGUCUUUCCAGUACUUCAAAGACCUUUAGUAACUUAGUCCAGACUGGUUUAUUGCUUCUUAGAACUAAGACGUUUCAAGAGGAAAGUCGUAGGUUACAGUGUAUUAGGACUCUCUCUUGGGCGGCUGAGAAUCCCAUGAUGCUAUAUGAACUGUUGAUCUAAAGCUUAUUAUAGCCUCACUUCCUACAGUAUAAUUCUUAAAUCUUUUAAGUUAUACAGUGCUGUCUUUAAUCCUGAGCACUAAACCUUAAAGCAGAACUAGUUUUCUAAUAACCAGAGUACCAUCUGUGAGUAGAUAUAAUUAUGCUUUGUAAAAAUACAGUUCACUUGCUUGCACAGGUGGUCCACGACCUAUUUCAAAUUAUUUGAAUUUUCAAAAAAUGUUUUACAUAGAAAAAUCUGGGAGCGAAAUCCACUGUCCCAGUAUUCUUUGUGGAGGAAAAAAAUGUAUGUGGGUAGAUGUAUUCCACUUUACUCAAGAACCAGAACACCUCACCCUUUGUGUUUUUCCAAUUUGCCCUUUCUGUGCGAGUUAUCUGGGCUUUGAUAGUAUCAGUGUAUCAGUGGUGAAGUCUCCUGUUAUGUAACACAUCUAUGGACAUGGAAAUAUAGUAAAUACUUUUUUUUUUCCCCCCUGAUAUGUUGUCAUUUUUAAACGUGUUAUUCUAGGGAUUUCCGGGGAAGAAAUAACAUUAUGCUCUGGAAGUAUUUUUAGAUUUUUCUAGCACUGUGCAAACUGACUGAUUAUUCCCCUGGAAAGGGGAAAGUGAGUAUUAUCCCCACUUUGCACGAGCGGAAAUUGAUAUGGAGUCACACUAAGCAACUUGCCUCAGGCCAUGAAGGUAAACAGGGACCAACACUGUGGUGCUCCCAUUCUCCUGCCCCGUGCCCUGCCCAGGCCCUGCUAUUUACAGCUUGCUGUCAAAUGCCCUUAAGGAAAUGCAGAAUACAGGAAUUAAAGCAAACACAUAACAUUUUCUGCCUCCCAUCAGGGCUUUGUGUUAUCUAGUAUUUAUUGAGUGUCAGCAUUAUGCUGGUUGCUACACAAACAUAAAAGAAAGCGUGGUCCCUAUGCCAGAAUGUAUGUACGUUCUACUUUGUGUUGUCACCCAGAUGUUUCCAACCAGGCUGCCUAGCUUUGCUGUCCCUUUCUGGUGCAUGAGAGAGCUGAACUCACUAGUGCCAGGGGGGUAGCUGUGGCAGACAACCAGCAAUGGUGAGGGGGUCCAGGCUGUGCAUUUGCUGAGUUCCUGCAAACCACCUGGAUGAGUGACUGUCACCACACCCACAGGGAACUGGUCUUUGUAAAAAGAGCCAUGGGGCUGAAAAGCAGGGAAUGACUUCUUUGAGCUGAAUACAUGUCCUCACCCUCCUGGGGAGCAUGGGCAGACCUGUGAAGCCCCAUUUUUCUCCCAGGCUCCUUCCACCUGGAGGAGGAUGCAGUGAGUCUGCAAUGAUACACAAGUCCAUGUGGGAUCCCUGAUCUCUUCUGCUGCUCAAAGCCACAAGGGAGGAGAUAUCUUCUGCGUAGCCUGUUUCCAACAGGGAAGAUCUCCAAGAGUCCACUUCUGUGACAGAUCUGUGCAGUGGAAAGAACUAAGACAGUGAACAUGGAAGAACUGAGACAGUAUGGGAGCAGCUGCAAAGGGUAUCCAAGCUCAGCUAGGAGAAGGUAUGUGUGGCUGGCCAUGAGGGUGAAGAAAAUUCAGGCAACUUUCUUUUGGAAAGGACAAGCAAAGUCUCUCCAUGUCAGAAAUUUAGAGGUUUAUUCUGUAUGUUGCCUUGUGUUUCAUGUAAUAAAAUCCAGACCACAUACAGCACCAAAUCCUGCAGUUGUCAUUGUCUUAGAAGUCCUAUUCAAAGGUUAACUAACCACUAGGUGUUCCCCUGACAAAGAUAAAAUCUUUGUGUUCCAAACUUUCUGAAGAGUCUUUCAUUACAAUAAACAUCUCCUGCCCAGUAGCUGAGGCUUGUUGAGUAUAAAGAGCCUUUGUCAGGGAUGGAGCACAGCAGAGCUUCCUGAGGAUUUCUUUCCACUCUAAAACUGAGGUGGGUCUGUCCUCCCCACUCAUUUUAAUUUGUUCAUUUUUUCCUAGGAAACAAGUAUUGCUCUGGUUUUCAUUUUCCACAGGCUGCUUGAGUAUCUUGGAGUCUGGAGCUGAGGGGAAAGGAAAGGUUGUUAUCCUUAGUGGUGUUGCCUUUUAUCAUCAAUACUGGCUGCUAGUAUAGAAGAGUAGUAUACCAGCCAAGGGUAUAGCAGUCACUGCUACACAUGUAGACCAUGAGGACUGCUCAGCAACAGAGGCUGUGCAGGACUUGCGAUGUGUUCCCCACUUCUCUCUGAAAUACUUCAUAGUACAUCUGGAAUACAUGUUUUCACUUUUAAAAUCUGUCCUUUUACAAAUAAAAUAGUGUGGAAUCUGCCCAGAUAAUUCUCAUUGUAGCAGCACUAGUAUUGCUUCAUUGUUAAUCUCUUUUCAGCUGUGGCAAUUGUUACUCCUCUCCUCUCCUCUCCUCUCCUCUCCUCUCCUCUCCUCUCCUCUCCUCUCCUCUCCUCUCC